GAGUUUGAUCCUGGCUCAGGACGAACGCUGGCGGCGUGCCUAAUACAUGCAAGUCGAGCGGGGUUAGUUAGAAGCUUGCUUCUAACUAACCUAGCGGCGGACGGGUGAGUAACACGUAGGCAACCUGCCCACAAGACAGGGAUAACUACCGGAAACGGUAGCUAAUACCCGAUACAUCCUUUUCCUGCAUGGGAGAAGGAGGAAAGACGGAGCAAUCUGUCACUUGUGGAUGGGCCUGCGGCGCAUUAGCUAGUUGGUGGGGUAAAGGCCUACCAAGGCGACGAUGCGUAGCCGACCUGAGAGGGUGAUCGGCCACACUGGGACUGAGACACGGCCCAGACUCCUACGGGAGGCAGCAGUAGGGAAUCUUCCGCAAUGGGCGAAAGCCUGACGGAGCAACGCCGCGUGAGUGAUGAAGGUUUUCGGAGUCG
rnacentral:rRNA from 1 species